UUAUAAAAGACGGGAAAAAAGAAGAGAGGGAAAACCACAAAUAGGCGAAGCUAUGGUUGUAUAGUUGACAAUAUGUUCGAACUCUGAUCCUCCAGCGUUUUAGAAUCUGAAUCAAACAUUUUUCUUUUUUUCUUUAAACUUUUAUUAGUGUUUUUUUUUUUAUAAUUUGCUUUUUGUUUGGAUGGUAAUGGCGGAUACGGAGAGUUGCAGUAGUAGAGCGGUGGAUUUCGAGCCUAGUCAGAGUCGAAAACAGAGGCAAAAGAUUGAAGUGUAUAACCAAGUUCUUUGUCGACUUAGGGACUUGAAUAUUGAGGAGGCAACCUUCCCUGCCUUUGAAGAUGAACUUUGGGCUCAUUUCUCUAGACUUCCUACUAGGUAUGCAUUUGAUGUAAAUGUGGAGAGGGCACAAGAUGUUCUUAUGCAUAAAAGUUUACUUCAUAAGGCACGCGAUCCUGCUAACAGACCCGCCAUCGAAGUUCGGCUUGUGCAAGUUUAUUCUGCUUUGGAUGGAAAUAAGGCUGAGCCGGCACGUGUGAAGUUUACAAGAAAAGCUGAUGCUCAAUGUUCUGAUUAUCCCAACAAAAAGAGGGUUCAUCCGCCGCCUGCCUUUGGUACAUCAUCUGAUCUUGAGCUCGUGCAUGAAGCCAGAAGAGGUGUUAAAGAUAUGGAUGCUGUAAUUAAUGCCAAACCAAUUCACUAUCGGAUGAUGCAUGAGAUCACUAUUUCAACAAAUGACAAGCCAAAACUUCUAACGCAGUUGACUUCUUUAUUAUCUGAAGUUGGACUGAAUAUACAAGAAGCACAUGCUUUUUCCACAACAGAUGGCUAUUCCUUGGAUGUGUUCCUUGUUGAUGGUUGGGCACUUGAGGAGACUGAGCAGCUCAGAAAUGUAUUGAUAAAGGAGAUGUCCAAAGUUGAGAAGCAUUCCUUGUUAAGAUCUCAUGCCACAUAUCAUGUGAGGGAGCUAGAGCAAAAUGGAAACAAGCUUGUCUCCGGUCAUGUACACAUACCUGCUAGAGGAAGUGGUGUUUGGGAAAUUGAUACCAGCCUGUUGAAGUAUGAAAGCAAGUUGGCUUCCGGCUGCUAUGGUGAUUUGUAUAAAGGUACUUUCUAUGGUCAAGAUGUAGCUAUCAAAGUCCUUAGGACUGAGCAUCUAAAUGAGAACUUGCAAAGGGAAUUUACUCAAGAAGUUAAUAUUAUGAGGAAAAUUCGGCACAAGAAUGUUGUUCAAUUCAUCGGUGCAUGUACUAGACCUCCCAGCCUGUGCAUUGUGACUGAGUUCAUGUCUGGUGGAAGCAUGUAUGACCUUCUGCAUAAACAAAAAUCUGGUUUUAAGCUUCCAUUCUUACUCAAAGUAGCAACUGAUGUUUCCAAAGGAAUGAGCUACUUGCAUCAAAAUAGCAUAAUGCAUAGGGAUCUGAAAGCUGCCAAUCUUUUGAUGGAUGAAAAUGGAGUUGUCAAGGUAGCUGAUUUUGGUGUCGCUAGGGUACAAGCUCAGUCAGGUGUGAUGACUGCAGAAACAGGAACAUAUCGUUGGAUGGCUCCAGAGGUGAUUGAACACAAACCAUAUGAUCACAAAGCUGAUGUUUUCAGUUUUGGGGUUGUGCUAUGGGAACUGCUUACAGGAAAGCUUCCAUAUGAGAACUUAACCCCGUUACAAGCAGCGUUGGGCGUAGUACAGAAGGGUCUAAGGCCUGUGAUUCCUAAGCAUACUCACCCAAAAUUUGUGGAACUGCUGGAUAGAUGCUGGCAACAGGAGCCAUCACUAAGACCCGAAUUCUCUGAAAUUUCAGAUCUUUUGCAAGACUUAGCGAGGAUAUAGGGGAAAGUUGUAAGAACCGUCCUUUUGCUUAUACUUCUUGUUAGAAAUAUUGAUAAUCUUGGAAAGGUUGCAGGCAAGGAAAAUUGGAGGAUAGCAGAAGGAAAAUAACCUAGAAAAUUUGAAACAACUUUUAGGCAAGGAAGCUAGCAAAGAUGGCAAGCCCCUGUGGAUAAUUUUUGUAGCUUGAAAUAUGCAUAUCUUAGCUUUUCUUUACCCCUGUAGACUUCAACUCAAUAUUUUCAAAGUAAUGGGUAUCGUUCCAAAUUGGCAGCUUGUCAUUGCAAUAUACGAAUACAUUUUCUGUCUAGUAUUUGAACUUAAAAGAGAAAAUAGGAGAUGCCAUUGCUUGAAGUUCUGCUCUAUUUUAUCAAUGAGAAGUGAUUGAUUUAACUCAAUAUUUGGCAUUUUGCCUACCCUACAAGCGAAUUAGUCCUUGAUGCAUGGGUAUACGAUUUCAUAUUCUAUUCUUCAGGGCCUACUAUUGUAGACACUGAAUUCUCCACUGUUGAUGAAAGCUAAAGCAUUUUUUUUAAUCUUUUGUUUUCGAAUGAUUCUUGAUGAUUAACCCAUGAACGCUCAUUAGAGAAAGGGCCAAAAACACAGUGACAGCCUAUUGCUCGGUUCUCGAACAAUUCUAUUUUAAGAAUGCUUUGUCAAGUGAGGGGAAAAAGCAUGAAGGGAAUAUAGAAUUUGCGCAG